CUCCUGUGAAGCUGCACCCAGCCAAGAUUCUGAAGAUUACAACGCAUUAGGUAAGCUUCAUUGAUUCAUUAUGAUAUAUAAGAAUUUGCCCCGGUCAGGACAUACAGUGUUGUGAGCUGCCUGAGGUUGCCAAUCGAAGUGGGUAGUGGGCCACUAAGACCACUGUUGGAGGAGAGGUCCCUGCAUGCACCAUAACAUAUGAGUGAACAUGAUGUCUUUUUCCCCUCAAGCACAUAAGAGACAUGUAUCAUUUCUUUAAGAGAGAAAAGACUACACAAGAGGGACAUAGCCCCCCCCCCCCCCCAAAAAAAAAAAGCACACACACACACCCAAAACUUACAUAAACACACCCACACCACAAUCAAUCAGGAGAAAAUAAGACACAAAUGCCCCUUUUUCAACAGUAGGCAAACAUCAAUCUACCAGGACGUACACAUCACUUGAAAGUUUGAAAUCUGGGGGUUGUUGACUGAUACGAUCACCCCUACUACGAAGGUUGUAUGUGUGGCUGUUGGGAAGAGGGUUGAAGGAGGGCCGUGCGGGAACCGUGAUGAACUUGAGAAGAGCACCAUGCCUGGCGAAGAACAGGUAACAAGAUGAGGCAAGUGCAAUCUUUCUUUAGAUUAAACUUGCUUACAGAUGAAUACAAUGAAGAGGCUUUUACACAGCCUUGGCCUAACAGACUCUAGCUUUAUUUCAGGGGAUCUAACAACUCUCUCCUAUUUUUACUCCCUAGCCUUAUCUGCUGGCUGAUCGUCACACUUAUCUAACUAGGCCGAGGCCCCUAUUGCUGGCUCGCUUACAGGCUGUUUAGGCCGACAGCCAUAUACUCUUCCAAUCAUAACAUCUCUCCCUCCCUCGACGAACAGCUCGUCCUUGAGCUGGAACUGUGGAUAGGAAGAUGUGCACUGCUAUAGUGGCUCCCAUGUGGCUUCUUCUGGAUGCUCUUCAUUCCACCUGACCAAAACAACUCUACUUUCAGCUCAUCCAAGUUCUAUAAUCUUACUUUUCAGUCAAUUUAGCCCCCUGCUGCCUAUAAUUGGAUUUGGCAGUCCAAGGUUGGUAAGAAAUUGAAGAUCUUUGUGUGGCUGGUCUUCAGAGAUAGAAUUAACUCAAAGAACAUCCUCAGAAGAAAGGGUUUCCUGGCGCCUGACAGUAACUUUGGCUACACUCUAAGGAGAAAGGUACGCGUGCUGGAUUUAUCAAACUCGUCGCUGUUGUUGCACUGGAUGGGCUUCACAGAGGCGUCGAACUGUGUAGAGGCGUAGGCAAUGAAGGUCGCGAGAGUGCAGAAAGUGUCAGAUUUAACACGAAGAGGAAAAGUCCACAAAUAAUGUGUGAAAUCAUCAAGAAUGACCAAAUAAUAUUUAUAACCAGAUACACUAACGAUUGGAGAUGUCCAUAGGUCACAAUGUACAAGAUCAAACUUAUUAGACGCACGAGAGGUAGACACAUGAAAGGGUAAGCGAACAUGGUGCCCUAACUGACAAGCAUGGCAUAAAUAUGAGGAAUCCUCCAAGUGAAGGGGGAUGCUAGACGGGAGCUUCGAUAGAGCUUCAUGACCAGGAUGACCGAGAGGGCGAUGCCACAAGGGUGAGGUGGACUUGGCGACCAAGGACUGAGCUAGAGAGAGGUGCAAGGGGUACAGAGCCUUGGAGCUAUUGCACCUGACGAUCACGUUCUGAGUUUGCAGAUCCUUCACAGAACAACCAGCAGGGUCGAACUCAACAGAGCAAUUGUUGCCGAUAGUAGGGGCACGGGCACAGAUGUGGAGGAUCCUGGUGUGGACUCAACUGCAGCGAUCCGAGACGACAUGGAAGACAUCUAGGUGGCGAAGUCUCCGAGCUGUCGCUGGACGUCGGUGAUCGUCUCCAGCGUUGGUGACUGGGUGGCGGAGGCCAUGUGAUCAUCAUUAUUGGAACCUUGCAUGACCGAUACCAAGUUGAUACGAUCACCCCUACUACGAAGGUUGUAUGUGUGGCUGUUGGGAAGAGGGUUGGAGGAGGGCCGUGCGCGUGAUGAACUUGAAAAGAGCACCACGCCCGACAAAGAACAGGUAACAAGAUGAGGCAAGUGUAAUCUCUUUCUUUAGAUUAAACUUGCUUACAGAUGAAUACAAUGAAGAUGCUUUUACAUAGCCUUGGCCUAACAAACUCUAACUUUAUUUCAGGGGAUCUAACAACUCUCUCCUAUUUUUACUCCCUAGCCUUAUCUGCUGGCUGAUCGGCGAUCGCCGCACUUAUCUAACUAGGCCGAGGCCCCUAUUGCUGGCCCGCUUACAGGCUGUUUAGGCCGGCGGCCAUAUACUCUUCCAGUCAUAACAUGACACUGUAAGCUGAAAUCUUUUCUAUUAGUUUUAACUAUUUAGUGCACACAUGAAAGCCAUAUUACACAGUUGAAUUAGGAAACUCGUCCAUAAACUCUAGAUAUAUGAAUAGGAUAUUAGGAUGGAACUACAACAGCAAUCAUUUUCUUGAAUGUUUUUAACAUGUAUUGAAGACUGGGCUUGGCCGGAAGGGACUAACUUGCAAUUUCAGCCCCCACAUCUGGGAGCCAAAAUCUUUCAGUUACAGCUUAAAUUUUUUUUUUCUGGAAUACGCAGGAGAGCUGCGUAUCAUUGCAUUAAUAGAAAGAAUAGAAAGGGGGAUAGAAUCCCGGUACAGAACACACACACACACCACUUAUAAACUAACUAAGGAUCACCGACUAUCAUGGAGGAAACACGACCCACAACACUGAUCUAAGCUAGCAACUCAUCAACUUGGAGGAAGGACAGAGCCUUGGCACCAGUCAGGGACCAUAGCACCGCCUCUUCCCUAGCCACUCUAAGGGCAGUGACCAGGCUGGGAUUACAACCAUCAAAAACGCAUCUAUUCCUAUGCUUCCAAAUGGUCCAAGCACCUAGGAUCACAAGAGAAUUAAAACCUUUUCUCAAAAAAUCAGAUGCCCGAGAGCUGCUAGACUUCCACCACGACUCAAAGGAAUCCUCAUGAGCUGGACAUAGAACCUGCAGCCCCACUAAACUAAGGAACUGAAACCAGAACUGCUUGGCAAAAACACAUUUGACCAGCAAAUGAUUCAUGGUUUCAGCCUCUUGGUCGCAUAGGGGGCACUGCUCAGGUCGGUCUAGUCCUCUUUUUAUAAGCCUGUCAGCAGUCCAACACCUAUUAUGUUCCACAAGCCAUAUAAAGAACUUGCACUUGCCAGGAGCCCAAGAUUUCCACACACGUUCUGCUGGUUCGAACUGGACCGAACCAAGGAAAAGAGCUUUAUAAGCAGAACUAGUUGUAUACUCCCCUGAAGCGCUGAAUUUCCAUAAGUGGCGAUCCCUUAUUCCAGGUUGGAGCUCAACUGCAUCAAGCACUUCACAGAGUUCCAAGAAUUCAGCAAUGACUCUAACUGAAAUUGCCCCAUUCACAUCGGAGAUCCACUGAAAAUUAGGGAGCACAUCUUUAACCAACUGUUUGUUGGCAAGACGCGGGGGCACCAAAUCAAACACUGCAGGAGCUAUGUCUUUAAUACAUUUCCCAUCCAACCAUCUAUCCUUCCAGAAAAGAGUAUUGGCUCCAUCACCGAGCUUAGUAAUAAUGGCUGCAGCGAUCAGAUUUUUAACCACCUUACAUACACGAAUGGGGAAGUCCGUCCAGGGCCUACUGGGGUCUGUUUUCUGCAGCCAUGGCCAACGAGCUCUCAGAGCCCAACAUAGGUUCUUUAGCUCACUAAUCCCAAGACCACCCAGCUCCUUGGGACGGGUAACCUUAGGCCAAGCCAAGAGGCAAUGACCACCACGGAACUCUUUCCUGCCCCUCCAAAGGAAGCCUUUCCUCAAUUUAUCAAUAGCUUUGAUGGCCCAAACAGGAAGGUCGAGUGCCAAAGCUGCAUAAAUCAUCUUUGCCGUCAUGACAAACUGCAUAUGAAUAGCUCUACCAGCCCUGGUCAUAAGUUCAGCUUUCCAUCCUGGCAGAAGGCUAGCUACUCUAUCAACGAUGGCCUGAACCUGGUCCCUUGUGAGUUUCUUGGGAGACAGAGGCAGACCAAGGUACUUACACGGAAAAUCUGAAAUAUUACAUGGUAGCAAGUCUUGUAAACAAUUUAAAUCUUCUUCCCCACAGCAGAUUGGGAACACACUACUCUUCUGGAUAUUAGUCCUUAGACCCGAAGCUGAACCAAAUAAAUGGAGAAUAUCCAUAACCAUACUGAUGUCUGGGGCAGUCGGACAUAGAAAUAUCACUGCGUCAUCCGCGUACAGCGAGAUACGGUGCUGCAUAUUCCUUGUAGAGAGAGGUUGAAGAAGCCCUUCCUCAGAAGCUCGCUGCACAAGCAGAUUCAAGACAUCCAUUACAAGAAUAAAUAACAUAGGCGAUAGUGGAUCACCCUGCCUCAGCCCACGUUGAUGUCCAAUCCAAUCCCCUGGCAGACCAUUUAGUAAAAUCCUGGUAGAAGAGGUAGCUAACAGCCCACAUAUUAUAUCACACCAGACCUGACCAAAACCAAGUUUUUUCAAGACCUCGAGAAGGAAGGCCCACGAAACCGAGUCAAAAGCCUUUGAAAUGUCAAGCUUGAGAAGGAUACGAGCCUGCUUCUGACAAUGUAGGAAUUUGGUCGUCUGCUGGACCAGCAUAAAGUUGUCCAGAAUAAACCGUUUCUUAAUAAAAGCGGUUUGAUUGGGGGAAACCAUAUUUUGCAGCCGGCCUGCUAACCGGUUAGCCAACAAUUUAGUCACCAACUUCGCGAAACUAUGAACCAGACUUAUUGGGCGGAAAUCCCUCACACUGGUGGCCCCCUCCACCUUGGGAAGAAGAGUAAUGAAAGCUGAAUUCAGAGGACCCAGGUUUCUGAAUUUUUUAGCCCAAAUGCAGCGAACGGCUGCCAUGAAAUCAGUCAUGAUUACCGACCAGCAGCUUUUGUAAAAUCUACCAGUGAACCCGUCGGGACCCGGGGAUUUGUCCGAAGGAAGGGCCUUAAUUGUAUCCCAGACUUCCUCCUCAGAGACAGGCACAUCAAGGGCAGCAAGGUCAAAAGAUGGCAUCCCUAGAGCAUCCAGAUCCACUGUAACAUUCCUUAUUUCUGCAGUACCAAGUAACCCUUGAUAAAAAUUGAAGAGGGCUGCUGCCUUUCCUUCCUGGGCAGUCCAAAUCUGCCCAUCUUCUGAUUGAAUUGCUGCAAUGAAAUUCUUUUUCUUCCUGAACCUUGUUUGUGCAUGAAAAAGAGAGGUAUUGGCAUCCCCUUCUUUGAGCCAUCCAAUCCGCGAUUUCAACCUUGCCAUGGUACGAGAAAUAGAGGAGAGGGAAAGGGAGUGCUUUUUGAGCAUGUUUCGGAGCCACAAUUCAGCAGGAGAUAAAGAGCGAUUAUCUUGCGCCACCUCUAAUUGAUGUAGAAGCUCCCUAGCCAUCUCAAGCUGCAGUUUAAUCUUCCCAACUUUUUUGUCAUUCCAGCUCUGCAAACAUCUAGCCGUUGUCUUUAAUUUCUUGGCCAAGGUGAUAAGUGGGCAAGGCCCUGCAGGAACAGACGCCCAGGCCUGAGUUACCACAUCCUGAAAACCCUCCAUCUUAGUCCAGAAAGCUUGGAAGUGAAACCUCCCUUUUCCUCUGCUGAAAUCAUGAAGCCCAAGCAGCAAAGGGCAAUGGUCGGAGUCAUCCGUGGCUGAGCUCUGGAGAAGAGAAUCUGGGAAUUGUUCCUCCCAAUCUGUUGUGCAGAAAACCCUAUCCAAUUUGACCAGGGUAGGAUUAGAGUGCCCAUUUGACCAUGUAUACUUCCGGCCAAUCAACGGAAUUUCAUUAAGAGCCAAAUCAUUUGCCCAUCUCCUGAAUCUACCCAUCAUGGCACGGUCUAAAUUAUUAUUAUUCUUUUCUUCCUCCCUUAAAAUCAGAUUGAAGUCCCCGAGCACAAGCCAUGGCCCAUUACAGAGAGCUCUAACUUCUCUAAGAGAUUGCAAAAACUGAAUCUUGUCACGGUUCCCUUGUGGACCAUACACACAAGUAAGCCACCAAGGAGAGCUGGUGCUAGAAUGAAAAUUCACAGAGACACUAUAUUCAUCCACUCUACUGCCAGCACAAACACCAAUGCUAUUUUUCCAAGCUACCAAAAUGCCACCACUAGCACCAACAGAAGGUAGGAAAACAAAAUUAUCAAAAGCUGGUCCUAGCAUCCGCAACAAAAGGAACCGAGAAACAUCCACCAUUUUAGUCUCUUGAAGACAAACCACAUCAACUUGAGCUGAAUCCACCAAAGUGCGUACAGCAUCCUGCCUAGCAGCCCCAUUAAGGCCUCGUACAUUCCAGAUUAGAAUUUUGGAGGGAUCCAUAAGGAAUGAAAGAAGAACGACUACCAGUGAGGGACACCCAAAAAAAAAUCAUCAGCAGAUUGGUCCGCCUUGCAGCAUCUCCAUAGGCCUAGACCACCCAAAUAGCGCUGCCAUGGCCGUGAUCUGCACCUCUGAAAGCCCUUUGCUGAAAACCCUGGCAUACUCAUCAAGGUCUUCUGGCCUUAGACUUUCAGUUUCUUCCGCAUUCCCAAUACCCAGUUCCUUCAAAAUGCGCUUCUUGCCCUGCGUGGCCGGUGGAGGAGGAGGCAACCUCUCCACUCCUACUCCAGCGACCCUUCUGCUGCGUCGGGGGACCACCUCAUUGGCUGUAACUUUGCCUUGUCGCGGCCUUCUGACUGGCGCCCUCAGAAUUCCACCUGCUGGUUUGGUCAGCCUAUCAAUAAACUUUAUAGCAGCCGAAGGGGGGGGGCGUGGACGUGUGUAACAGCUGCUUUGGUUGACUGUCCUUCUUCCUCCUCUGCCGAAAAUAUGUAAUGAUGCCCGAAGCCGCUGCAGAACAGGGGGGCGGCAUCACCAGCUCAACAGCGACAGGCUCAUCAACAGGACAAGGAUCGCCCUGGACAAGCGCUGCAGCCGGAACUGUGGCGCCCUUAGGUGUCCCGCAGUCUAGAAGAGAAACCGGUAACAAAGGCUCAACAUCAGCAGGUUCAUCGACAGGGCUGGGGGGGUCGCCCUGGACAAACACAGGAGAAAUAUCAACAGAAUCAUUCCCUGUCGCAGCCAAAUCAUCAGAAGUCAUUCCCCCCCCCCCCCCCCCCCCCGGCUUCAGACGGAGUCUGGGAGACUACCACGUCCACAGCCGGAGAGAAUGAAAGGUGAGGGGGGCAGGUGCCACCAUGGACCCGCUGCGAUGCUUCGGACCUUGAGCCCAAACGGUCAAAAAUUGAUCUCCUUCCCCGAGGUUCCCCACCGACUUCCCUGCCGUCGUUAUCAUCACCGCCAUGAGGAGGAGAGCGGGAACGAUGACGCCUCCUCUGUCUUGAAGAACCACCAUUUACUCCGGAAUCCUGAGAAGGGAUCAACCGAUCACUCCUCAACGUCGAGAAACUAAUAGAAAUCUGAUAUACAAGGCCAAGCCUUCCAUCUUCAGUGUUAACUCCCGUAGGUUCCACAAUCCAAAGGUCUCUGGCAGCAGGGAUGGUUGCCGGGUCAAAACACCAUCCAGAACAACGAAAGACGUCAAGAUUCCGGAGCUCCAGGGUAUCAGGAUGGACUUCAUGCACCCAAACACACUGAUUCAGUAGCUGCUGAACUGUUGAUAACUCCCAUGCAUGUAAAGGAAUACCAGUCAGUUGCACUUCCACAGGGAUCGGCAGGCUCACUCCAGACGAACCCAAAAACUUGGACCAUUUCUUGGACAGCAACGAGAACGUGCUGGAUCUGAUCAAGCUCCACCUCUCUGUUAGUACCAGAGCUAAGCGCUCAUUUGGAAGCAUGAGCAAUAGAUUGGCCUUGGUAAACUGCCGCAGAACCAAAGAAGAUGCCUCAACAUCCAACUUAAGCGCAAUCGCCUCUGCAAUCUCUGCAAGCGGAAUCACCAAGUCACUGAUAACAGCAAUAGACACUGCAUUCUUCAAAUCAUCUUCAGCUUGCGUUAGAGGAUUAUUCCAGCCAAUGAUGCAAGGCACAUGAGGCUGUACUGCUAUUCCUUCCAAAGGGGUCUCAUCACUUCCUGGCAAGACAGCUCCAUCUUGGCCUUGACCAGGAUCCGAACCACCCCUCGACGAUGAACGGCGCUUGCGAUGGCGCCUGCGACGUGGGCGAGGCGGGAGGGGUUGCUGCGAGUGUGCGGCAGUUGCGAUCUCCAUGACCGUGGACGAUGUCGCGACGGUCGUCGACACAGUCUCCUUCCUCUUCUCACCUUCAGCACUAGGGGGUGAAAUCCUGCGCCAAACCUUAUUACGACCCUCGAAUCGACUUGGAUGAGAAGCCGGGAUGCGGAGCCGGUUCCAAACUGGCGCUUUAGAAGCCUGCUGCGAAAGCUUGGUUACAGACGUCGUCUUCACUACAGUCUGAACACCAGCCGCCGGCGCAGCUGAACCCAGUCUAUCCCACACGGAGCCUCUAGAUAACCGCCGGUGAACCGUGAGCCUGUUGUCGUUACGCACCGGCCCUGGACAUGUAUAGGAUCGAUGUCCCAGAGCCUUGCAGCGAAAACACCUUGGCUCCCUGCGGCACGACACAGCGAAGUGGUCGUCGGCAAAGCAGUUGAAACAGCGGCCGAUCAAGUCGACGGGCACAGCCUUGCUAGCCCGCAGCAAUUUAGCACUCCGCUGCCUUGUCUUCUUCGACCUUACUUCAACCCAACCGUCGGCAUCCCUCUUCGGGGCUCUCUCCAGACCACGUACAGCUUAAAUUUGGAGUCAUGCUUUCUAGUAAAUAGAAAUAACACAGGAUUCCAGACUUUGAAAACUACUUUUCAAUACAUGGAAACAAAGUAAUCAUGCAGUCAAAUUUUGAGCAGACUAUUCUGAUUUCUAUCAAUUGAAACCAGAAAAAAAUGGUGCCGAUGAUAAUUUAUGAACUUUAAAUAUAGAUUCUACUUUUCAAUAUAUGGAAAUAAAGUAAUUAUGCAGUCAAAUGAUGAGCAGAUUCUUCUGGCAUGUCUAUCAAUUGGAACUAGAAAAUGCAGUACUAAAGAUAGUUUAUAAACUUUAAUUAUCUAUGCAAAAUGACUCACAAGUAAGCAAGCUCGCUGAACUGGCCUAUACUGUUGCUUAAUGUGCCUUGAAGAUUGAUGCUUGAUAGCCUCCUGGAAACAUGGAUUUUGAAUUUUAUAGAUGGAAAGUUAAAGUAAAAACUAGUAAAACAUUAUUAGUUAGUACCCACAUUGAUAUGACUCGCCCAUUGUUGCACAUAAUGCCAUCCCAUUGUGCACCACAUGGAUCAUUUGAUGCUUCCCAACUUGAUGGGAAGUUCUGCCACCCUUUAAUUAGAGACUGAAGUGCAGCCACUGUCAAUUCGUUCUGUGUUAUUAUCAAUUGAACAAUUUACAUAGCACUGAAUUGAGUUACAUUCUCAUUUGUAUGGUUUGAUACUGCCAUCUCUUUUAUUGUUAGCUGUUUUUUAUUUGCUAACUCACAAUAUAAAUUUGGAAAGGUCACCAACUUAGAGAAAUAAAGAAGAAUGGUACUUUUUUCAAUUGACAUGGUGCUUAUCAUAGCAAUAUUUCAUUGGAUCUUACAUACUUGAAGAUAAAGGCAUGCUAAAACAUUAAACAUUUUGUUCUUUGGAGAGAAGAAUACUGUUUCUUGAAAACUGAGUGGCAUAUAAAAGGUUUUUCAUCUAGCAAAUUUAUGUGUUCUGCUAGGCUUCAAGAUGCUUAAGCUAUAACUUUGCAAGGCUAAUUUAAGUAAGAAUAGAAAGUUUCAGAGACCAAGGUUAAUAUAGUUACCAUCUUGGGGAUCUGUAUCACAGAAUAGUGCACGAAGACUGGCCAAAAUCAUGAAUAUCAGCAGAAGAAUGGACAGUGCCUUCAUUUUGAGAGCUACAAACACUCUGAACCUCAGGGUUCCACAAAGCUGUUGUGAAUGUGAAUACUUCAAGGAGUGGAGCUUUCUAAGGUUUACAACUGAUCACCAAAGCCUUGGUCUUUUAUUGAAUGUUCCCUUGAGUAGGAACAGGUCAGCACAAUCUACACUUGCUUGCUAUUCCUCACGAGACUUGCACCAGCUGCAAAUUUGAUGAUAAACUAGAUAGUAAGCCAAGGAAAUGGAAAGACGUGUAAAACAACAGAGUUGCAUAAGGAUUACUGGCUCUUCCAUGGAUCCCUGAAUGACCUGUUGUCUGAUGACUCUCGCAGGUAAUAGGUCUUUGGUGCCUUGGUGGCUCGGUGCAAGUCACAAACUCACAAUGCUGUCAACACAUUCCUUUAAACUUUUGAACGUGGACGUAUUCGUGACAACUGGUGUCUGUUUUGUUAUUUAAAUUUGUGUAGCCUGCUCAUCCUUACAGGUUGUAACUUCAUGUCGCUGGGAUACAGUUUUUUUUUGUCAUUUUUAAUACUUUUGCAUUUGCAUGUCAUGUAGUUGAUAUUGUUUUUUCAUUGAUCCAGUGUAUGCUGAGGUGGACUGAAAUAACGAUGUCAAUGCUUUGGAAGCUCUGCUAAUGACAUAGUUACUUUCAUUGUUUCUGCAGGUUUCUUUCUUGUUUUGCCCACAUCUUAAAUUGAACUUUGUUUAUUGGUAUGUUUUGUUACAUUAGCUUUUGAGUAUUCAUAUAUUUUAAUUAUCUCAUUCUCCCAACUGGCUGCUGAUGGGACUCAAUUAAGUGCAGCGAACAUUUUUUAUAGAACUUGUCCCUGCUACUUCUACAGAAGUGCAACAGACAUGCAUUGCAGUAGUAAUGACUGAGUUAUUUUCGUCACUGUUAAUUAAUAUAAUCAAACAAAGAUAUUUCAACACACAUGGGCAAUGCCUCUACUAAAUCAUCUGUUUGUCAACAAAGGGCAAACAUCAAUUAUAAUAUUGUCCCUCAUCAGUCCUUUGUACUCACAUAUUGGCAUCCACCGACAAGAACUUCAUGGCCAUGACCUCUCAACAAUAUUGUCUUGGACUAGUUCUUGAUUCGACUGGCUAAUCGGACAUUUUUUAUCCUUAUGUUGUCAGUGUAAAGGAGUACAGAGGCAUGAAUGGUUUUAUAGAUGGAUCAGACAUUCACUGCUGUUUCAUCUGAAGCAAGUCAUGUGCCAGUGUGUUUCUGAAAUACUCAUUCAUUGAUUUAUCAACAGGGAAAAGAUUAAUGUCGUAUAAUACAUCCUUCAACAAAAACAAAGAGUGGAAACUGUUAUCUACUUUGGUUGAACAGCUGAGUAUGAAUACCCACUGUUGUAGUCAAAAGUGCUGCUGCUGCUUUCAUCAUUCAUAGGCAAAUGUUCUGCAUAAGGAUCUCGUCUCUUUUCAUUUCCAAAUUGUUCAACUGAUAAAGACGCUGAGUUUAACAAUUGUGCCCCUUCAUUCUGUAUGAUGAUCUCAAGUUCCUUUACCACAUCAUUCAUUGUUGGGCGGUCAACAGCAGACUCUUCCACACAUUCCAUAGCCAACUGUAUAAAUCUCCUGAAGCCAAUUAAUUUAGCUGAAUCCCUGAUUUUUGGAUCGAUUAGGCCCUUCAAGCCAUAGUAUUCUUGAUCAUAUUGAUCUAUUGCUGUCCUGAUCUCACGGACAAUAUACCUGCCUUUCUCUAUGGGCUGGCUAGCAGUUACUAGUUCUAGCAGGACAACUCCAAAGCUGUAGACAUCACUCUUCUCAGAGAGCUGUUGCGUCAUGUAAUACUCAGGAUCCAAAUAGCCCUAGCAAGAAUGCAAAAAAAAGGAAUCAGCAAAAAGUGUUUCUUAGGUGAACAGAAAUUACGCCAGAGAAUAUCCAAAAUACAUACCAAUGUUCCCUUCACUUGGGUAGAAACAUGACCCUUUUGUGUGUCAGACACAAGUUUUGAAAGACCAAAAUCGGCAACCUUAGCAUUGAGACUUUCAUCCAAAAGGAUAUUGGUUGAUUUGAUAUCUCUGUGUAUGAUUGGUGGAUCAGCAAGUUCAUGGAGGUAUGCUAGACCUUUUGCUGAGCCAAUGGCAAUCCUGAGGCGGUUCUUCCAAUCUAAGUUCACUCCUCUUUUACCUGCAAUCAAGUCAUGGUUAGAUCAUAUGUUCUUGUGUAGGCACAUCUACUAGUUAAGUAAAUUUGUGUUAAUUAGAGUGAGUAGUGUAGAUGAUACCCAUCAAGUUCUCCCUUAGUGUCCCAUAAGGAAUAUAUUCAUAAACCAACAUCUGUUCCCCUUGUUCGUAGCAGAAACCCACUAGGCUCACUAGGUUCUUGUGAUGAACCCUGGACAGCAGUUCUAUCUCAUUCUUGAAUUCAGCUGCACCUUGCAUGGACCCUUGCUGUGCACGUUUUAUUGCAGCUAUUUGCCCGUUUGCAAGUCUUCCUUUGUACACCUUUUAAUAGAGUAAAAUGUAAUGUUAGAUGCUUUCUCAAACACGUGUCUAGCUGUGAACAGGCCAAAGCGGCAACUGAAUUACCUUCCCAUAUCCUCCAGACCCUAUCUCCUGAGUUUCUGAGAAAUUAUUGGUGCAUUUUUUCAGUUCCUCGAAUGGAAAGUAUCUUGCACCCUUCAAUUGUGGUGCAUCUCCGUUGUCUGUCCCACCAGCUCCCCAUGAUGCUGUGGCACCAAAGCAUUAACAAGAAUGAAUCAGGAUAAGUACAGUUAUCUUCCUAGUAUUUAAUCUUUGGUACACAUUACCGAAAGGAUUUGUAGUUCGCUCUACUGCCUCCUUGGCUAUCCUUUUCUGUCGUAGAGCAUAUGUUGCUACUGCAACAAGGCCAAGAAUAAGGACAACACCCCCAAUUGAUAUUCCAAUUAUUGCAGCCUUGCCCAUCGAGGGCUUCUUAUUGCUGGGAACUGAAAUGGACGUUUAGCAAUUCAAGAUACGUCAGACAAAGGUGGUAUAAACCUUGUGAAAUGUACUGUUUGCAUACCUGUAAAGUAUGUGUUCGCUAUGAAGCUGUAUGGUCCAAAAUUGGGUGGGGCUUUAUAAGUUUGGUUGACCAGAGGAGAAAUGAUUCUUAUGACUUCUGAGCGAUUGAAGCUCGUUCCACUGGCCGGAAAAAUACUCACUAUGAAUGUUAGAGGGUUUCCUUGGCUGAAUUGAACAUUGGAAAUGGCAACUGAUCUUGGUGCCAGGCUAAGAUUCUGCAUAAGUGUUGACUCCACAAUUUGGAACAUUGUGGGGCUUAUGACAUCAGAGAAGGCGGGUGCUUGGAAGAUCAUCAGACCCUGAAUGGGACUGGUGCAUGCACAGUUCUGUGAAGUGACUGGACUUGCUGACUGAUCAAAGGGGCAUGGAAUGGCAGCACAUGGGCCAAGGUUAGUGGCAUAUGACGCUUGCUGCUUUUGCUUGAGUUUGCAUAAACUAGUGUUGUCUAAACAUACAGGAUUCUCUGUUAAUCUGGAUAAGAACAGAAACUAUGGUGGUUAAAAAACACAUGCCGGUAAGUAUGCAAGCAUACAAUCAUUUAUGUUUGAGAGGACAAUUCUUACAUAAGGGUGUUGCUGUAGCCUGUUACAUUCGCUUCGAUGAUUUGAUUAGAUGUCAAGUUAACAACCUGCAACUGUGAGCUGAUGUUACCUGUCAUAUUAAGUUUCCCACUGAAUGAGUUCCUAGCUAAUGAUCUGCAUGACAAGUUGUGACAUCACAGAAUGCACAAUAAAUUACUCAGUUUGAACUCUAUAGAUAUUCAAGGGAAUCGUGGAACAAGUCAAUGAUGAAUUACACUUGCUGCAGGUUGGGGAGACUGAACAUAGCACUAGGGAUUGUCCCAUUAAGUUCACCAUGAUCCAUAAAUCUGCAUAUCCGACCAGAAACAUUAUCCGUAUUGUAGCUUUAAAUGUAAUUGAUUUCGUUAAUCUUCAAAAACUCACAUGGUAUUUAAGGAUCUCAAUGUUGAAAACCAUCCUGGUGCUGGCGAGCUUGCAAAGUUAUUAUUGCUUAGGUCUCUGCUUAGAUAAAGAAAAAAUUAACCGCAGAAAACAAAUCAUAAACUUGAAUGUGGCAUAUUUUUCUUACACAUAAUCUAGCUGAGUUAGAUUAGUGAGAUCCGGCACGGUCCCGUUCAGUAGGUUGUUUGCUAUGCUCCUGCAAGAAGCCAAGAACCAAAAGGGAUAUUUGCAAUGUAAUUUUCUAGUAUCAUGAAAUAUCCGUUGGUAUUCAUUGAAAUUUAGUUACUUACACUUCCAUGAGGUUACUUAGGGUGGUAAUACUGUUGGGAACUGGACCACUGAAUUGGUUAUGAUCUAGUCGGCUGGCAACAAUUGUGACAAUGUUAUGAUCUAGUCGGCUGUACAAGAUUGAUGGAGAACAUGAUUUAUCUGGUACUUACAUUAUUUGAAGUGAUUUGACUUGUCCAAGAGAUGCUGGGAUUGGCCCAGUAAAGUUGUUAUUAUUAAAUAUCCUGGCAAAGAUUACAGAAAGCAGUGACAUACUAUGGUGACAGAAAUAAACAGAGUUGCUAUUGCAAAUGAAGAACACAGCUUACACAUGUAUAAGGUUCAUCUUAUCACUGAAAAGGCUUUCGCUCAUCGGGCCUGUCAACUGGUUCUCACUGAAGUGGCUGUUGAUUGCAUGUAUGCAACCGGAGUUGGAACAGUUAAGCUACAGUUUUUCUCUUUUUAUGCUAGAGUUGGUAAAACAUUUGAGAACUUACAAAUGCCUCGUGUUGACAAGUUGAUCCAACCCUGGAGAAACUGGUAUUUGUCCUGACAACUGAUUUGCUGACAUGUCCAACCAGAAAAGAUUUGAAAGAAGGCCAAGUGUUGGAGGAAUUCCACCAGUGAAUUUAUUUGAGUUUAGUGCCCUGCACAAGGAAAUAGUUAAUUCAUAUGACAAACAGAAUGUUGUCCGUUAUAUAUUCUCUUCUGAAUUUGAGUGACUUCUUACAGGAAUGUGAGCUGUGACAAGUUGCCUAUUUCUUUCGGGAUAUUCCCUGUGAACGUGCAUCCAAGCAAAAUCCUGACAGAACAAAGAUUGGUCAGCGUUCCUCCUUUUUGGUGAUCUUUGCAUAUCCCUAAAAAAUAGUGUUAUCAUGAAAUGUCAUUUCUUACAGAACGGUGAGCUGCUUCAGAUUUCCAAUAUUUGGAGUAAGUGGACCCCCGAGAUUUUGGUUAUUAGACAGAUCCCUGCAUGUAGUUUAUAGCAUUAGCUUAAUAUAUGUUUUCUCUUCAUCGAUCUCUAGGUAAACUGGUAGGUUAUGUUAUGAAUUCAACUAUAUUCAAUAUGAGGACACUAGGCCAUAUUAUAUACACACCAAUCCAGGAUAGAGACCAUAUAUAACAGGGGUUAAGGCCGAAUAUAACAAGGAUACAUGCAUAGACAUCUAACACCCUCUCUUAAACUCAAGGUGGAUCAAACGUAUGGAGUUUAAAGAGAUAAAAAAACCCAUACUAAGCUCUAAUCUGUGUCUUUGUGAAGAAAUCAGCCAACUGAAGCUCUAAAAGGCUAUGUCAGUUCGUAUUGUUCGUUGCGGUCUAGCUUGGAGUCUCUUUUUUCCCUCUUAAUAUAAUGAUGUGCAGUUCUCCUGCGUGUUCGAGAGAAAAACUGAAGCUCUAAAGGCAUAUAACAAAGAUCAAUCAUAUUGUUCUGAACCUAUGCACUUGUGUAAUAGGCUUCAACACUUUAGUAAGCUCAUGCUUGAUCGGACCACGAGCAAAAAUAAUAGCACAUAUAUUGUCAUAUAAAAGAGAAGUUGGCAUAGAAACAGAAACACCAAAAUUCUCCAGCAACCACCAUAAUCGUUGGUGAUCUUGGGUGCCUAGGUUGUGUGGAAGCAUAGGAACAAGUAUGUUUUUGAUGGAUGUAGUCCUAGUUUAGUUGUUGCCCUCUAGGUGGCCAGGGAAGAGGCUUUAUAUUAGUCCUUUGCAGGAGCAAAAGCCCUGUCCUCCCUCCAAGUCAGUGAGCUGUUUGUGAAAUACAGUUCUAGGUCGUUGUUAUCUUCUUUGUAGCCAGUGAUCAGUCUACUAUGUAAUCCUAGGUGGGGUGUGAGUGCUGCUGCACUAGUGAUCUAUUCCCCAUUUUUCUCUUUUUAAUAUAUUGAUGCACAACUCUCCUACAUAUUCAAGAAAAAACCACCGUAACCGAGUAACCUCUGUAGUCACAAGAGCCAUAGCACGCAACUUAGCCUCUGCACUCGAACGAGAACUGCUAUGUGUUUAUUAGUCUUUCAAGCAAUGAGGGAACCACCAAGAAAAAUAGAAUAGAAAGAAAGAGAUCGACAAUCAAAGGAAUCACUAGCCUAGUAGCAUCACAAUAAGCCUAGAGUUGAAAAGAGCUAGAGUGUAAAAAGAGCAGGUGUCUAGAUAUAGUCCAACGAGGAGAUUGUAAGACAUGAAACAAGUGACUAUAGUGGAGCUGAGUGGGAGCGAAAAUAAUCUGGCUCAGAAUAUGUACAUAAUACGAAAUGAUAGGAUGAGUGACACCAAUGUAAACAAGACUCCCUACAAUGUGUCGAUAAUGAGUAGUGUCGGUACCUCAAGAUUGGGGUACCCACUGCUACUGAAUCAAGGCGGACCCUCCGGAACUACCCUUAGUCACCAUGCUAAUGGUGGUCCGUCCUAGCCUAGUGGUUGGGUGUGCCUAGUAAGGCCACUGGCCUCAGGUGAAGGCAAGCACCUAUAAUCAGCACUCUGGAACCCCAGUGGAGGGGUCCGGGUUUGCCACGUGUCUUGAAGACGAGGGCUCUCAGCACCUAUGCCAGGGGGCUGGACCCCCGGGAAUGGCUUUUGGUCCUCAUGGCGGGCCACCCGGACCUCUGGCCUAAGGGGGUCCGAUGCUGCCACGUGCUGGCCAACACUAGAGAAGACGGAACCUCCCUCGAGCACCAUCCGACCCCCAGCCAAGGGUGGUCCGGAGUUGUCACGAGGAAGGGCGGUCCCAGUCACUACUCACACAAGGCGAGGCCUAGUGCUGCCACGUGUUCUACGACACGUGACGUAAGCCAUCAGGGAAAGCCUGACGUCAGCCUCUAAAUGUAAAGCGCCUCUGCAUUAACUGCGGACGAGAUGUAUACCUGCCCGCCCUGGUGGCAGGCGGUGCAUCCGCAGUACACAGGCCGCACAGUAACUCGCGCGUCACUGAGGCGAGACCAUUGACUCCCUGCGCUGCUUGGGCUGCUUUCAUUACGACUCCCACUGUAGCCCGCGCAUUACCGAGGCGAAGGGAAACAGGCAGAGAAGACAGGAUGACGCCGCCUGAGCACCCCUACAUGCGGUAGCGCAUCAGUCUACGCCACAACCUACACCUGUGCCCUGCUCCGAUUAGACGGGUAGGAGAUCUACACGAAGACCAAGAGAACAUAUUCGUUCUCCAUGAACCACCGCUCCACUUACUCCAUAUCUAGUAAUAGAUUACUGGCCCACUUGUCGGAGCUUGGUCACCAUGUAAGUACCUCCCUUGGGCUAUAAAAGGGAGGGCACACACACGAUAGAGGACAAACUGAGACUGGGACGGAGACGGACGAGGUGACUCCCCCGGAGACCCUCGGAUAUAGAGACUCCGAUGCAAUACAACUCACAAUGAAUGUAGGGUAUUACGCUCCAGCGGCCCGAACCACUCUAACCCUUGUGUUCUCGUGUUCUUCCAGCUAAUCAGACAAAUCCCUAGGCUCCCCCCUAGUUCACAGGAUUAGGCAGGUGCACUCUGCCACCCCUCUGGAGUUUUCUCUCCGACAAGUAGGAUCCACAAGAGGCUGGCCAUUCAUGGUACGAAGGUGGACAUUGAGUUCUAUAGGGGCCUCAACUUUAUGUUGAUCAGUAAGAGAAGUUCGAUCAAGAAGAUCAUGAAUGUAUUUCUCUUGAGACACAUAAAAACCCUUAGAUGAAGAGGAAGACUCUAUCCCAAGAAAAUAACGAAGAGGACCAAGAUCAGACAUGAGAAACUGCUUAGUAAAACGUGCUACCAUGCUAUGAAUUGCACUAUAUUCAAUAUAAGGGUACUAGGUCCAAAUACAUAGAGACCUUGUACAACAAGGACUCUCUAUAUAUGAGACCUAAUACAACAAAGACAUGUAUAGACAGCUAACAUGUUAUAGCAUCUAGUUGACUGUAGUGCUAUGUUGUGAUAAGACUUCUUGAGAAAAUACUUAGGUAUUAUUGUUAGUUAAAGUGGGCAGGGUUUGGGGGUUUCUCGGUCGGGACCGUUCGCUGUAUCCAUGGAAAGCCGUGAGGGUGGUCUUACCCUCCCCGAUCGAGAUUUUUUAUUAUUGUUAGUCAAAGUGGACUAUUCUCAUUCUGAGGACAGUGGACUCACAGAUAUUUCAAAGCAGAUAGUUGGCCUAUGGUAUUGCUUAAUGUACCUUGCAGAUUCAUGCCUGUUAAUCUCCUGCAAACACAAGGUUUCAUCAGAGCAUUGAUUAUUUGUUAAGAGAAGAAGGUUUAUUCAGUACUCACAUUUCUGUCACCCGACCAUUGGAACAGGAAAUUCCAACCCAGGAGGUGCAGGGAUCAGUUGAACCUGUCCAGCUUGGUGGUUCGUUUUGCCAAUUAUUCAUCAAAGCCUGAAGUGCAGCAACUGUAGAAAUCAUUAAGCUAACAUUAGUUGAUCAUUUCUGCAUUAAUAACUCUAGUAGUUGAUUAGUUCUUAGGAUCGUAAAUUCAUGUGAGAGGAAUGUAGGCAAGUACCAUUCCAAGGAAUUGAAAGAGAGCUAAGCCUAAGGAAGAGAAUAGCAAGAAAAAAAGGAAAUGUUCAGUGUUAAGCUUAAUGUUUUGUCACGAGGACACACUUCAUGCAUAAUUGUUACGUUCUAAAUUUGAUCCAUUUGGUCUUGUGGGUUUGAUUACAUUACAGUUCUGCACAACCUUGACUAAUGAACUGGUGCAAAAACAUUAACUCAAAGGUAACACAAACUGACCUGCGCCGAAAAAAUCUUCUUGUUUUGUUGAAUAGAAAUAAUUCUAAGGAGUUCAAGACAGCCAAAUUUAAAAUGAAUAAACUUUGAUGUAAGUGAAUCAGUUUAAAUGGUUUUUAUCUGGUGGUAACUAAUGUUCAUUGUAAUCAAAACAUUCUCACAAUAUCGUCCUGGUAGAACUAAUCUAGCUGAACAUUUUUUCAGGUCAACAGGCACUCUGGAUAAUUCUACCCUAAACAGAUGGCAGCAUGCAUCCUAUAUCCUCGUCAAAUGCAAUAUAUCAAGGCUUACCAUCUUGGGGGUU
rnacentral:lncRNA from 1 species